rnacentral:RNase_P_RNA from 1 species
AGAGGGGCACAGGCAGCCGCGCCGGGAAACACACCCGGUGAGGAAAGUCCGAACACCGCAGGGCAGGAUGCCGGGUAACACCCGGGCGCCGUGAGGCGAUGGAAAGUGCAACAGAAAACAUACCGCCUUUUGAUUUUACCUGGGGCUUGCCCUGAGUAAAGUUGAAGGGUAAGGGUGAAAAGGCGAGGUAAGAGCUCACCGCAUCGGUAGCAAUACCGAUGGCAGUGCAAACCCCAUCCGGUGCAAGGCCAAAUAGGCAACCGCUAUCAAAGUUGCCCGCUUGAGGUUGCGGGUAGGCCGCAAAGAUGGGUAUGGUAACAUGCCCACAAGAUUAAUGGCUGCAUAAACAGAAUUCGGCUUAUGUGCCCCUCUUACC